AUGCUCAGAUUGAACGCUGGCGGCAGGCCUAACACAUGCAAGUCGAACGGUAACAGGAAGCAGCUUGCUGCUUUGCUGACGAGUGGCGGACGGGUGAGUAAUGUCUGGGAAACUGCCCGAUGGAGGGGGAUAACUACUGGAAACGGUAGCUAAUACCGCAUAAUGUCGCAAGACCAAAGAGGGGGACCUUCGGGCCUCUUGCCAUCGGAUGUGCCCAGAUGGGAUUAGCUUGUUGGUGAGGUAACGGCUCACCAAGGCGACGAUCCCUAGCUGGUCUGAGAGGAUGACCAGCCACACUGGAACUGAGACACGGUCCAGACUCCUACGGGAGGCAGCAGUGGGGAAUAUUGCACAAUGGGCGCAAGCCUGAUGCAGCCAUGCCGCGUGUAUGAAGAAGGCCUUCGGGUUGUAAAGUACUUUCAGCGGGGAGGAAGGGGUUAAGGUUAAUAACCUUAGCCAUUGACGUUACCCGCAGAAGAAGCACCGGCUAACUCCGUGCCAGCAGCCGCGGUAAUACGGAGGGUGCAAGCGUUAAUCGGAAUUACUGGGCGUAAAGCGCACGCAGGCGGUCUGUCAAGUCGGAUGUGAAAUCCCCGGGCUCAACCUGGGAACUGCAUUCGAAACUGGCAGGCUUGAGUCUCGUAGAGGGGGGUAGAAUUCCAGGUGUAGCGGUGAAAUGCGUAGAGAUCUGGAGGAAUACCGGUGGCGAAGGCGGCCCCCUGGACGAAGACUGACGCUCAGGUGCGAAAGCGUGGGGAGCAACAGGAUUAGAA
rnacentral:rRNA from 1 species